UUACGACAAUAUCACGCUGAAACACCGGCUCUCGUAAGAUCACCGAAGUUAAGCAACAUCGAGCUGGUCAAUACUUAAAUGGGUAACCUUUUGUGGAUACUAGCUGCUGUAAU